GGAUGCAAUCAUACCAGCACUAAAGCACCGGAUCCCAUCAGAACUCCGAAGGGAAGUCCUUGUGUUGCAUUCC
rfam:Triticum aestivum genome assembly, contig: Triticum_aestivum_CS42_TGACv1_scaffold_392481_5AS